rnacentral:rRNA from 1 species
AGAGGCCUACCAUGGUGGUAACGGGUAACGGGGUGUUAGGGCACGACACCGGAGAGGGAGCCUGAGAAACGGCUACCACAUCCAAGGAUGGCAGCAGGCGCGCAAAUUACCCAAUCCCGACACGGGGAGGUAGUGACAAUAAAUAACAAUACGGGGUUCUUUCGGAUCUCGUAAUUGGAAUGAGUACAAUUUAAAUCUCUUAACGAGGAACAAUUGGAGGGCAAGUCUGGUGCCAGCAGCCGCGGUAAUUCCAGCUCCAAUAGCGUAUAUUAAAGUUGUUGCAGUUAAAAAGCUCGUAGUUGAAUUUCGGGGUUAGUAGGUUGGUCCUGCCUCUGGUAUGUACUGAUCUCACUGAUUCCUCCUUCCUUAUGAACCGUAAUGCCAUUAAUUUGGUGUUGCGGGGAAUUUGGACUGUUACUUUGAAAAAAUUAGAGUGUUUAAAGCAGGCUAACGCUUGAAUACAUUAGCAUGGAAUAAUGAAAUAGGACGUUCGAUCUUAUUUUGUUGGUUUCUAGGAUUGACGUAAUGAUUAAUAGGGAUAGUUGGGGGCAUUAGUAUUCAAUUGUCAGAGGUGAAAUUCUUGGAUUUAUUGAAGACUAACUACUGCGAAAGCAUUUGCCAAGGAUGUUUUCAUUAAUCAAGAACGAAAGUUAGGGGAUCGAAGACGAUCAGAUACCGUCGUAGUCUUAACCAUAAACUAUGCCGACUAGG